UUUCAAUAAAGAGCCAUAGGCUUUUGGUUCUAAGGAAGUUCUGCUGGUUACCCGGGUGUACAUGGGGGGUAACAUUAAUCGCUUAGAAUGCAGCAAUUAGGUAAUUAAAAUAACAAAUAAAGUAAUUCUGGCAAGGGACCUCUAGUGUUAUGGCCAAACACAUAAAGUUACUGAGAAGGGCUGCUUCGCAGUUGUGCCGAGCGAGCGGCCAAGGGGGCCGAACUGCGCCUGCGGGACGGACACCUGCCUGAAAGAGGACAGCGGGGGAGGGAGAGGAGAAGAGAGGAGUAAUGAGCGCGCGCGGUAGCGGUAUGCAAAAUAGUUGCUCGUUUGCAACAAGAGAACCGCGUUAUGUAAAUACGGGAUUAUAGAAACCAUCUUGGCAUGGAGAUGAAACUUGGAUAAGACUACCUGAGGCCCUGGAACCGAGCGGGAGCAAGAAGCUCACGUUGGAGUGAAUCUGGAAAGCACAGGCAGCAACUGAUAUUCUAAGAUCAAUCCGGCGUCACCAGCACGUUGAAAUGCUCUGUGUGCACUACUAGCUGAAGGCCUUUCAAAUGUCAGGGCAGAGCAUGGCUUGCAAACAUCUGCCACAAGUUGAUGGGAAUGCAGAAAGACAGAAGGUGUGCGAUAGGGGAACUCUCAGGUAUCGUCUCCUGCUGACAAGCGUUUCUUGGGUCCACUUUUGUUCCCAACAGUCAGUCCCCGAAGACUCAGCAGCUGUGGUUGUAUAACGCUUGCGUUGGCAACCUCCAUAACCCUCAAAAGCUCUCCAGAAAUUCUCACAGAAAUACUGCCUUAGCUCUCAAAGAUCAGAUGCAUAAAUGACCUCAUCGUGUUGCAGUCUUGUCCUGAUACCUCCGAGUAACAGGACCUUUAUGAUCUAUAAUACCUUUGGGUAAAUCAGGACCACAGUGCACCUCACCUCACAGUGUUGGAUCACUGUCACGCUUCGUGUUCAUUUUUAGUCCCUGAUUAUGUAGUUUGUCACUCUUGAAGGUGUGUUUUCAUGCUUAUAGUAACCAUUCAAAUUCCCCUCUUCUUGGCACUGUUAUUUUCAUUGUCUCCGGGGGUCAGUGUGUACCUCACUGGGUUAGGGAAUUGUGGACAUGUCUGGAAGGUAGUGAAGUCAAAUUCUGUGGCUAUUGAGGCCUUUAGCAAAGCCCUUAACUCCAGCUGCUUCAGGGAUGCUGGCUGACCUUGUUCUCUAACCCUUGUACAUUGCUUUGGACGGUAUGUAUGAAAUAUAUAAAUACAUUCUUGAAAUGUCCAUCCCACCACCAUGAAAAUUUGUUUGCCAUGUCAAGUUUAGAAUCUAUAACUUCGAGCCUUUUUGAAUAAAAACAUCUACAUU